GACGAACGCUGGCGGCGUGCUUAACACAUGCAAGUCGAGCGGUAAGGCCCUUUCGGGGGUACACGAGCGGCGAACGGGUGAGUAACACGUGGGUGACCUGCCCUUAGCUCUGGGAUAAGCCUGGGAAACUGGGUCUAAUACCGGAUAUGACUCCAUGACGCAUGUUGUGGGGUGGAAAGCCUUGUGCGGCUAGGGAUGGGCCCGCGGCCUAUCAGCUUGUUGGUGGGGUGAUGGCCUACCAAGGCGACGACGGGUAGCCGGCCUGAGAGGGCGACCGGCCACACUGGGACUGAGAUACGGCCCAGACUCCUACGGGAGGCAGCAGUGGGGAAUCUUGCGCAAUGGGCGAAAAGCCUGACGCAGCGACGCCGCGUGA
rnacentral:rRNA from 1 species